rnacentral:rRNA from 1 species
ACGCGUGGGAAUCUGCCUAGUAGUGGGGGACAACAGUCGGAAACGACUGCUAAUACCGCAUACGCCCUACGGGGGAAAGCGGGGGAUCUUCGGACCUCGCGCUAUUAGAUGAGCCCGCGUUGGAUUAGCUUGUUGGUGGGGUAAUGGCCUACCAAGGCGACGAUCCAUAGCUGGUCUGAGAGGAUGAUCAGCCACACUGGGACUGAGACACGGCCCAGACUCCUACGGGAGGCAGCAGUGGGGAAUAUUGGACAAUGGGCGAAAGCCUGAUCCAGCCAUGCCGCGUGUGUGAAGAAGGCCUUAGGGUUGUAA